rnacentral:rRNA from 2 species
AUGACGUGCUUGCACUGAUUUCAACAAUGAAGCGAGUGGCGAACUGGUGAGUAACACGUGGGGAAUCUGCCCAGAAGCAGGGGAUAACACUUGGAAACAGGUGCUAAUACCGUAUAACAACAAAAUCCGCAUGGAUUUUGUUUGAAAGGUGGCUUCGGCUAUCACUUCUGGAUGAUCCCGCGGCGUAUUAGUUAGUUGGUGAGGUAAAGGCCCACCAAGACGAUGAUACGUAGCCGACCUGAGAGGGUAAUCGGCCACAUUGGGACUGAGACACGGCCCAAACUCCUACGGGAGGCAGCAGUAGGGAAUCUUCCACAAUGGACGAAAGUCUGAUGGAGCAAUGCCGCGUGAGUGAAGAAGGGUUUCGGCUCGUAAAACUCUGUUGUUAAAGAAGAACACCUUUGAGAGUAACUGUUCAAGGGUUGACGGUAUUUAACCAGAAAGCCACGGCUAACUACGUGCCAGCAGCCGCGGUAAUACGUAGGUGGCAAGCGUUGUCCGGAUUUAUUGGGCGUAAAGCGAGCGCAGGCGGUUUUUUAAGUCUGAUGUGAAAGCCUUCGGCUUAACCGGAGAAGUGCAUCGGAAACUGGGAGACUUGAGUGCAGAAGAGGACAGUGGAACUCCAUGUGUAGCGGUGGAAUGCGUAGAUAUAUGGAAGAACACCAGUGGCGAAGGCGGCUGUCUAGUCUGUAACUGACGCUGAGGCUCGAAAGCAUGGGUAGCGAACA